GAUGGCGAACACCCGAUCUAAGUGGAAGGGUUCUGAAUCAGUUUUAACCGAGAGCACGAAGAAACGAAGAAUCGAGAACGUGAUUUUAACUUCACAAAGACGAACACGUAUCUUAGAGACAGAGCAAGCAGAUGGCAUCAGUUAAAAAAUACCGAAGGGAUUAAAACAGACCCUCCGUUGGCCAAGCUAAUGCCUUGGCACAGUUUUGAAAGCAAGCCUGAGAUCUAGAGCGUCUGGUCAUAAAGAAACUGAAGCCAAUGAAGAUGACCACAGGCGGCAUGGAGUCCAGCCACUACGGACGACACUAUUACUAGUCGCACUUAGAUAUCAGAGGAUUUAUAACACAAAAGUUCUCGGAGGACAAUAGUGCCGUACAAGGUGGAAAGGACAUACCAACACAUCCAGGGACUCAUCAAUCUGAUAGUGGCCAACAGAAUAAAGGAUAGAACUGGAAUAUCUAAACCAAAACCCUUGCAUCAAAUAGAUCCCAGAAGAUUCAAACUCCUAGCCCAUGUUCCUCCAUCAUCUACUGCCCAAAUGGUAGAGGAGAAGAAAUCCCAAUUAAGAUGAAUGGGAAUAAUUGAAAUUUUGAGACUAAUCACGUUCCAGAGACUAUUACUUUUGAAUAUCUGUCCUUACGUUUAGUAGCUGACCUGGUCCGAAGGACCAAGGUGAGUAUGCCAUACUGAGGCGUCCGGCAUUCGUCUGUCAACAUUGUGAACACAAUAUUUGAAUAACUUGAGUAAAUAUCAGAAUAUACCAAAUUUGAUAAAACUUUAUAUGCAGCCAUAUAUCGACAAGAUCUCAGACAACUUCAAAAAUAGAAAUUAUUGGACAGUAGUUUGCAGAGUUAUUGCCCUUUGUAAUGGUCUUAUUAUUAACAUUUUUUUAGUUCACUGGUCAGAAUGGAAACUCUUUUUAAAAUUCUACUAGUCCUGAACAAUUAAAUGGAUUUGAUGAAAUUUGGCCAGGAGAAUUAUGUGGCAAUGUUAUAUGUUGCAUAAAUGAAGCGUCAUCAUCAUCUGAGUGGCACCUUUGGGGCACAAUAAGAGAAUUACCCGGUAUAGCAAAAAAAAAGAUUAAACUCAUUUUUUUUUCAAGAAUUACAUCUAGUCCACUUGUAGUUUGAACCAUUGUUGGGAGAGGUAGUUCAAAAGUAGAAAAAUGUUUGAAAUGUAACUUAAAUUUGAGUAUUUUGCCAUCAUUACUGAAUUAUCCAGGUUAGCGAUGCAGGCCCUCUGGGCCUUUAGUUUAUUGGUAUAAUGUUACUAUAAUAGCUUAGCUGUUAUCCAUUCCAUAAAUGUCAUAUGAUAAUCAGUGCAGCCUUAAUUUCAAAAUUUAUAUAAUCUCAAGAGACAAACAACAUUGUGUGGUCUGAAAUUUAAAUGCUUAGUCAAAAAUGAUUAUUCAUAGCUGUACAUGUGUGCACUAUGGAAAUAUUCAUGUUAACACUCACAAGUAAUUAUAAACUCUCAAAAUUCAUUGAUGUCAACACCCACUAGUGCUCAAUAGUAACAGAUGUCAACACUCACUAAUACUCAAUAGUCAUUUAUGUCAACACUCACUAAUACUCAAUUGUCAUAUAUGUCAACACUCACAAAUACUCAAUAGUCAUGUAUGUCAACACUCCAUAAUACUCAAUAGUCAUUGAUGUCAACACUCAAUUAUCACUGAUGCCAACAAUUGUCAUUGAUGUUAAAUCACUAGUCAUGGCAGUCAACUUUCUCUAGUCAUUGAUGCCAAUGCUUACAUCUGAGCAAGACAAUAAAUACAAUGUGGUAAAUUCUUUAUUUGCAUGUUUGACUUUUCUCAGUGUUUUCUAUAUCAAAACUAUUUGUGAGACAAAUUGUACUGUGCAUUUACUGUUUUGUGUAUUAUCAACAUCAUAAGUCACUGUUCUGUUGAUAUUCUGAUAAAUUAGGGUUGCAUCUUUAGGUCACCUGAGAUGAAGUAUGAAGUGACCUAUUCUAACUGACUUUUGUCUGUCGUCUUGCGUUGUUUGUCUUAAACAAUUUGUCAGUAAGCUUUCAUGGUCAAAAGGUCAACCAAAACUGUGGAUUACAUAGUCCCAACCCCCAGGGACCUGAGGGGCAGGGUCAAAAAGGGUCAAAUUGACUAAAAUUUAAAAGAUCUCAGCUCCCAGAUAUGGUAGAAUCAUAUACUGGUAACAGAUAGCAAGGUCUUUAACAAAAAUUGUGAAUUUCAUGACCCUGAGGGGGGACUAAAAUUUAUAUAGGGAAAUCACAAUUUUGAUCAGCAUUUGUUUGAUUUCUAUUGA